rnacentral:lncRNA from 1 species
CACACUCGGAGUAUUUUUGGUGGACGAGAUCUUUAAUUCUUCACUGCACUUGAAAAAAAAAUCGAAAUGACAUCCAGAUAAAGAAUAAAGGUAACCACUUCCACCUUCAGGCCCUAAGCAGACAGCGGUGCUCAGGUUAUAUUUCAGGGAUGUUGAAAAGGCCUUCUGGGCUGGGCGCGGUGGCUCAUGCCUGUGAUCCCCGCACUUUGGGAGGCCGAGGCGGGUGGAUCACUUGAGGUCAGGAAUUCAAGACCAGCCUGACCAACAUGGCAAAAGGCCGUCUUUACUAAAAAUACAAAAAAUUAGCCUAGUGUGGAGGCACACACCUGUAAUCUGAGUUACUCAGGAGGCUGAGGCAGGAGAAUCACUUGAAGCCAGGAGGCUGGUCGCGAACUUCUGAGCUCAGGCAAUCCACCCGCCUCAGCCUCCCAAAGUGCUGGGAUUACACGCCGUGAGCCACCGCACCUGGCCCCUGGGACCAUUCUCACACAGAGUUAUUAUUAAAUAAGAAUUAGCAAAGUUCAGAAAGUCAUAUAUUUCAAGUGCUUUCUAAUUCAAAGUGCUUCUCUAUAUUCAAGUACUAUGGUAUCAUUUCAAACAUAGCAAAUUAUAAAAGUUCUGUAAUUUCCUAAAUAUAAAUGUACUUUGUGAAAGGCUUCUGUGACACACAUAAAAGACAUAUUUGAUGUACCAGUUGCUUUGCUGUGGCUUUUAAGUAAAGAAUAAAAAGU